AACACUGUUAACCUGCGGUACCUGCGGAAGGAUCAUUACCGAGUUUACAACUCCCAAACCCCUGUGAACAUACCUAUACGUUGCCUCGGCGGAUCAGCCCGCGCCCUGUAAAAAGGGACGGCCCGCCCGAGGACCCUAAACUCUGUUUUUAGUGGAACUUCUGAGUAAAACAAACAAAUAAAUCAAAACUUUCAACAAUGGAUCU
rnacentral:misc_RNA from 1 species